GGCAGGGUGGCUAAGUGGUUAUUGAGUUUGCCUCGCACCUCCAGCGAUGGGGGUUCAAAUCCCUGUCUUUGCCC